rnacentral:lncRNA from 1 species
CCUUUACCUCAGUGAGCAAACUCACCUUCCUUCUCAGCUCAGGAUGUGACCCACGCUGCAAGGUGCAUCUCAUCAGCUGUGACCUGACUAGCAAAAUGGCGAUCUGGAGAUGUGCUGUCUUUUCACUUUUUUCGCCGCUGGAAGGAAGAAUUAAUGGACCAUUCAAACAGAAAGGCACUCUGCAGGGGAAGAGACAGAUCCAUCCCCUGUGGGGGGCUGCUGUCCCUGCACAGCCCCUUGUGAUGGGUACCGAGAGGGUGGAAGAGGACCUCUCGCUGGUUUGGCUUGGACAGAGCUGCUUCAUCCUGAGGAAGGUGAUUUGCUGUUCUCUGCUGGGUACAGUCACAGAAACAUUCAGGUUGGAAAAGACCUCUAAAGUCUUUUAAGACCUCUGAGGCCUCUAAGGCCUCAUCCUCUCUCCUGUCCCACACCUCAGACCAGGAUUGUCCCUCUGCCCACCUUCUCCAGCAUAUUCUGUCCCUCUGCCCACCUUCUCCAGCAUAUUCCAUGCCCAGGAAGAAAGACAAGAAAGAUAUUAAGGAGAAUUCUGGCUGGGUGCAGAGUAUCUGGAGAGAGCAGGGACUAACAGAAAUGUCCCUGGCAGAAAUAACCACCUGGGGUGGUUAUUACUUAAAAUCAGUGAGGAACAACUAUCUGCAGCAGAUUAAAUUUGCUCUUUUCACUGUUUGUCAGGUUAGCUGUCUGUUGUAAGGAAAAUCGGAAGUUUCUGAGGAAAACAGAAGGGUCUGAGAAGAUGCACAGGCUGGUCUUGGGGCAGCGUCCCUGCUGCGACAGCUGGUUCAGGAGUGAAACUAAUGUGAGCAGUCCCAUCACAGCCACGGCCCAAACUGUUCUGGCAAGACUUAGCAAGGUAUACCUUUUUUUUUUUUUUUUAACACCUUUUUAAAGCCCUGAGUGUGCCGGGGCCCCCAGGAGGGGCACAGGCACCACCUGUGUUGUCUCUGUGAGCCCAGCCAGCUUUCUGACCAGCUCCUCUCCUCUCGGCCCACAUGCAGGGAAACAGGCACAUAUUUCCUUCCACCUGUUUUCUGCAUCAGGCUGUACAGGGCCACAUGCUGCCUUUCACUCUCUCACAAAAAUUUGGUUUACCUCACCAUUAUGAUUAUAUAUGCCCCCAGUACAAGGGUGCUGGCAGACAUCCCCGAAGUCAUUACCUGCACGGUGCUUUGGAUCGAGGCCUAGUGAACUGCAAUUAUCUGAGGAGGGUUUCCUUUUGGAGCCGACACCUUAAUCACUAGACCCUUGGCUCUUUACAGAGGCAGAACCCUCCUGGCUGCAAUUAAUAAAAUCUGCAGGCUGUGGCCCCGUGCA